UGCAGGCUCAAGGGAGUUCGACGCCUCCAGGAUCCUCUCUGGGCCCUAUUUGCGUGGCUGGAUCUACCAAAGUUCGUUAGUGAAUGCGAGGCCAUCCCUAGUGUAGCCUCCAGGGAGAUCGACGCCUCUAGGAUCCUCUCUGGGCCCUAUUCACGUGGCUGCAUCCACCAGAGGUGACCUUCUAAGGCUUCAUGAGUUGGACCUCCUUCUGGCGGUGCAGGCACAGGAAGCUCGACCCCUUGAGGCUUCUCUCUGGCCCUUAUUCGCGUGGCUGGAUCCGCCAGAGGCCCCAGGAAGUUCGACGCAUGCAGGCUCCUCUCUGGGCCCUAUUCGCGUGGCUGGAUCCUACAGAGGUUGGCUUGUAAGGCUUCAUGAG